rnacentral:rRNA from 1 species
AUGUCGAUCACACCACGAUUUAUCGAUGGGUUUAGCGUUCUGCACCUGAAACAGCGGGCUGCUCGUCAGAGUGACGAGUGGCGGCAACGGGCGUUGCGCUGGCGGGAGGGUCUUAAGGUGGCGUAAGCAGCAAGCGAUGCAUCUGCGGGAUUCUCCGAUUUUUGUAAAGACACGUCAGUAUGGGAAAAUGUGAGCCCGAUCUCAAGAGAGAACUUAACCUCA